rnacentral:rRNA from 1 species
GUGGGGGAUAUUGCACAAUGGGGGAAACCCUGAUGCAGCGACGCCGCGUGGAGGAAGAAGGCCUUCGGGUUGUAAACUCCUGUCCAUGGGGACGAUAAUGACGGUACCCGUGGAGGAAGCACCGGCUAACUACGUGCCAGCAGCCGCGGUAAAACGUAGGGUGCAAGCGUUGUCCGGAAUUACUGGGUGUAAAGGGAGCGCAGGCGGAUUUGCAAGUUGGGAGUGAAAACUAUGGGCUCAACCCAUAACCUGCUUUCAAAACUGCAGAUCUUGAGUGGUGUAGAGGUAGGCGGAAUUCCCGGUGUAGCGGUGGAAUGCGUAGAUAUCGGGAGGAACACCAGUGGCGAAGGCGGCCUACUGGGCACUAACUGACGCUGAGGCUCGAAAGUAUGGGUAGCAAACAGGA